CGGGACGUGGCGCAGCCUGGUAGCGCGCUUGACUGGGGGUCAAGAGGUCGCAGGUUCAAAUCCUGUCGUCCCGA
rnacentral:tRNA from 2 species